rnacentral:rRNA from 1 species
CAAUAGCAUAUAUUAACGUUGUUGCAGUUGAAAAGCUCGUAGUUGAACUUUUGGUAGGAGCGACCUGGCCUUGGGCGCAUGCCCUUGUUUGCCGUGUGUCGUAUCUGGCCAUCCUUUUCCGCUUCGGCGGGUAUCCUUUACUGUGAGUAAACUGGAGUGCUCAAAACAAGACGUUUGUUUGGUACAUUAAAGCAUGGAAUAAUAAGAUAGGACCUGGUUACUAUUUUGUUGGUUUGCAUAGCUAGGUAAUGAUUAACAGGGACAGUUGGGGGUAUUCGUAUUUAAUUGUCAGAGGUGAAAUUCUUGGAUUUAUGAAAGACGAACGACUGCGAAAGCAUUUACCAAGGAUGUUUUCAUUAA